AUUCACUUAUAAUCUCAUCAUUUCUCUGUUUCUAUGUGCUGCUGUGAAAUGAAGCCAAGAUCUCUGCAAAUCUAAAGCAAAUGUCAAAUGGCUUUAAAGAAGAAUUAUUGAAUCUCACUGAACAACUGAAGCAAAUGAGUAA